CUCAUCUGAAAUUUUGUAAUUGCAUUGCAAAGUAGGCAUUCUCAUACCCAUUUUUCUGAUGAAUUAGAAAACUAAAGCUCAGAGAGGUUGACAAACUUACCCAAGAUCACCCACCUCAUAAGUGGGUAAGCUAGAAUACAAUUUGGAUCUUUGACUGCUAAAUGCCUGCUCAUUCCACUGCGUCAUUUCACUAUGGGAUAGAAGGGAGUGUCUGGCGAAGGCCCAGUGUGGAGUAAAAGCUUUGGUCAAAGACAUUCUUAUUUUCCUUCCUUAUAGGACAUUCAGAACCUUGGUGAUCCCUCAGACUUCUCCUCCACAGGUCAUAGCUCCAGCAUUGUGCAAGGAGAAGUAUGAGCAGCAUGGAAGGCAACAUCUGAGGCAAAGCCGGCAAGAGAAGUUGAGGUGCGGCAGACCCUGAGAACAUCAAAGCCCUAUUGAGGCCUUUCUAUGCCCACUGCUCGGUGACCUCUUGAGCAAAUUUUUUUUUUUUCAUUUUCCCACUCCUUUGCUCCUUUGGAUAGGAGGACUAUGUCACUUAUUAUCCAAACAAAGAUUAUUUUGAAAAAAGAGCACUGUUAAUAAUACACAGGGAUAUCAGAACUCUCCUGGGGACACCAGGAUGCAUGGUCUCCCUAUCUGGAAGUCCUAUUUCCAUAACAUUUCAGAAACCCAGAGGUGAGUGUCCUUGUCACCUUUAAACACAGAGAACACAUCUGUCCAGGCUGGCUAGAAAACCCCAUAAGGCAGUCAAAACAGAUGGGGCCUUUUCCGAGUUGCAUGACCUCCACUCCACCACACUGAACUCAGUGUUCUCAUGUAUAUAAUGGGCAUGAUGGUGUUUAUCUUAAGGGGGUUACAUGGAAUAAAUAAGAUGUCAUAUGUACUA